GAAUUCACUAGUGAUUCGGGAAACUGGGGCUAAUACGCGAUAGAUGACCUCAUCUGGAAUGAGAGGUCGUCCAAAGGGCGGCACGGGUAUGCUCCGUGUCUUUCGCUCCAGGAUGGGACUGCGGCCGAUCAGGCUGUUGGCGGGGUAAUGGCCCACCAAACCUGUAACCGGUACGGGCUUUGAGAGAAGGAGCCCGGAGAUGGACACUGAGACAAGGGUCCAGGCCCUACGGGGCGCAUCAGGCGCGAAACCUUCGCAAUGCGCGAAAGCGUGACGAGGCUAGUCCGAGUGCCUCCCGCUGAGGGGGGCUUUUCUCGNGCUGUAAAUAGUNCCGGGGAAUAAGGGGAGGGCAAGUCUGGUGU
rnacentral:rRNA from 1 species